rnacentral:rRNA from 1 species
GAUGAACGCUGGCGGCGUGCCUAAUACAUGCAAGUCGAGCGAACGGACGAGAAGCUUGCUUCUCUGAUGUUAGCGGCGGACGGGUGAGUAACACGUGGAUAACCUACCUAUAAGACUGGGAUAACUUCGGGAAACCGUAGCUAAUACCGGAUAAUAUUUUGAACCGCAUGGUUCAAAAGUGAAAGACGGUCUUGCUGUCACUUAUAGAUGGAUCCGCGCUGCAUUAGCUAGUUGGUAAGGUAACGGCUUACCAAGGCAACGAUGCAUAGCCGACCUGAGAGGGUGAUCGGCCACACGGGAACUGAGACACGGUCCAGACUCCUACGGGAGGCGGCAGUAGGGAAUCUUCCGCAAUGGGCGAAAGCCUGACGGAGCAACGCCGCGUGAGUGAUGAAGGUCUUCGGAUCGUAAAACUCUGUUAUUAGGGAAGAACAUAUGUGUAAGUAACUGUGCACAUCUUGACGGUACCUAAUCAGAAAGCCACGGCUAACUACGUG